AGUAAAUAGAUACCCAGGUAGUCCACGCCGUAAACGAUGGAUGCUAGCUGUUAUCAGUAUCGACCCUGGUAGUAGCGAAAGCUAACGCGUUAAGCAUCCCGCCUGAGGAGUACGAGCGCAAGCUUAAAACUCAAAGGAAUUGACGGGGACCCGCACAAGCGGUGGAGCGUGUUGUUUAAUUCGAUGGUAAGCGAAGAACCUUACCAAGGUUUGACAUCCUGGGAAAGUUGGUGAAAGCCGACCGUGCCUUCGGGAACCCAGUGACAGGUGAUGCAUGGCCGUCGUCAGCUCGUGUCGUGAGAUGUUUGGUUAAGUCCAUCAACGAGCGCAACCCUUAUAGUCUGUUGUAUUUCUCAGGCUAGACUGCCCCGGUAACGGGGAGGAAGGAGGGGAUGAUGUCAGGUCCGUAUUCCCUUACGCCUUGGGCUAC
rnacentral:rRNA from 1 species